UUUCCGUAGGUGAACCUGCGGAAGGAUCAUUACAGAGUUCAUGCCCUCACGGGUAGAUCUCCCACCCUUGAAUAUUUAUACCUUAGUUGCUUUGGCAGGCCGUGGAAACACCAUGGGCUCCGGCUUAUGCGUGCCUGCCAGAGGAAACAAACUCUGUUUUUAGUGAUGUCUGAGUACUAUAUAAUAGUUAAAACUUUCAGCAACGGAUCUCUUGGUUCUG
rnacentral:misc_RNA from 1 species